rnacentral:rRNA from 1 species
AGCGAACGCUGGCGGCAGGCCUAACACAUGCAAGUCGAACGAACUCUUCGGAGUUAGUGGCGGACGGGUGAGUAACACGUGGGAACGUGCCUUUAGGUUCGGAAUAACUCAGGGAAACUUGUGCUAAUACCGAAUGUGCCCUUCGGGGGAAAGAUUUAUCGCCUUUAGAGCGGCCCGCGUCUGAUUAGCUAGUUGGUGAGGUGACGGCUCACCAAGGGGACGAUCAGUAGCUGGUCUGAGAGGAUGCCCAGCCACACUGGGACUGAGACACGGCCCAGACUCCUACGGGAGGCAGCAGUGGGGAAUCUUGCGCAAUGGGCGAAAGCCUGACGCAGCCAUGCCGCGUGAAUGAUGAAGGUCUUAGGAUUGUAAAAUUCUUUCACCGGGGACGAUAAUGACGGUACCCGGAGAAGAAGCCCCGGCUAACUUCGUGCCAGCAGCCGCGGUAAAAC